AGGCUGACUCCGGAGCUAGAGAGGAGCACAUUCGAGCGAGAAGCUACGAGUUCAAGCCCCUACCUACCGACCGACCUGUGGUCUCUGAAGUUGGACAAUGCUCCCCAACAGGUGCAAACAGAAUACCUGUUUGACCGGGCUUUGUCUCUAGGAAACUACAUACGAGGUGAUGGAAAUGCUAUUAAGAGUGAUGUGAAUUAACACAGAGACCUACAAUUGUUUGCAGCAGUAUGGAGGCUGGCAGGAUUGCCCAAGCAGAAGGCUGAGGCCACAAGAGGAACAAUCUGUUGGAGCAAGGCUUUGGAGCACUUGUUCGUGAAGGGUGUAAUAAUAAGUGCCGUGGUGUGGGAACUUAAACAAAUAAGAAUCUCCUUCCUCAAAGUUUGAGAGGCCCAAGAUUCAAGAUGGACAUGUCCACAGGAUGGGCGUCCUUCACUCCUGGUUUGCAAACAGUCACCCCCUGUCUGUGUCUACAUAAGCUCUUACCAUGUGUGUUUCUUCCUGGUGCCUCUCAGAGUCGAUGUUGCUUUUUUUCAUAAGAGUACCAAUUAAGGAUGACUUAGGGACCCUAAAUAGACCCAUUUUAACUACAUUAUCUUUUCACUGUUAUUUUCUUGGUUUCCUAAGGAUCAGACAAGGGGCCUUACGUAUGAUAGGUGAGUGCUCUACCAGUGAGCUACACACCCAGCACCCUUAAUAACAGCUUUAAAGAGCAGCCCUCCAAUGCAAAUACCUUCUUAAGUACUAGCAAUUGGGGCUCUAAUAUGAAUUUAGAAACAUGCAUUUAGAAGAAAGGGGCACAAAACAGCCCUUAUUCAAGGACACUUGAGCACUUGGUGGCUUCAUGGCACCUCUCUAUACACUCUCAGUGCCACCUCUAGACCCCACUUAACAUGAGGAAGAUGCCUCCCUUGCAUUAAGCUUUGUGUCCAGGCACUUCUCAUCCAUGCAGGUAGCCGCAUUCCCUAACUGAUACGUAGCAUCUCACUUCAGCUGUUCUUGUUCACCUCUUUUGAAUCUUGUAUGGAGUGGAGUUCCCUCUUCAAUUAAAAGAAAUUAUUC
rnacentral:lncRNA from 1 species